rnacentral:tRNA from 1 species
GGUUAUGGCUCAGUGGUAGAGUGCUUGCCUCACACAUGUGAGGCGCUGGGUUCAAUCCUCAGCACCA